GGAAGAGUUUUUGCCUCAAACUGUAAUAACAUUUUCCAUUUUCAGACCUCCUUGAUCGUCUUUUGUGACCCUUUUGAUGGCUGAGAAGCUCUGCACUGUACCUUGCCGCCUCUCACAAACAUGGCAACACCUCGCUGUCUUCCUGAACCUCUCCUAGAGACCCGCAGAGAUGGGAGAUUCUGAAACCUCUGAUACCUAGGGCACUGAUUUACCCCACCACAGUAAGCCAGUACAAAAAUAGCUAGAGAAUAACCCAAUACAACAACAAACACAGCCAGAAGAAAAUACAAAUUUCAGAAGACAGGACUGAGGAGGUGACAACUGAUUCCAGACAUGGAAAAGAGGUUUCACCUGUGGAUCGCCGUGCACCAGCACCGAGGAGCAAAGCAGAGCAGGACAAGGGGCAGCCGUUCACAGCCACCCCUGGGAGACACCAGAAAGAGACAGAGGCAUGUGAAAUCCCGUGCUGUCACCACAACGCAUGGCACCGAAAAGGACUGCCCUUCCUGCGCUCCAUUUACAGAACCCGAUUUUC
rnacentral:lncRNA from 1 species